GCGAGUGUGGCGAAAUUGGUAGACGCGCUAGAUUUAGGUUCUAGUGUCUUAGACGUGUCGGUUCGAGUCCGACCUCUCGCA
rnacentral:tRNA from 1 species